rnacentral:rRNA from 1 species
ACGAACGCUGGCGGCGUGCCUAAUACAUGCAAGUAGAACGCACAGUUUAUACCGUAGCUUGCUACACCAUAGACUGUGAGUUGCGAACGGGUGAGUAACGCGUAGGUAACCUGCCUGGUAGCGGGGGAUAACUAUUGGAAACGAUAGCUAAUACCGCAUAAUAUUGAUUAUUGCAUGAUAAUUGAUUGAAAGAUGCUAUUGCAUCACUACCAGAUGGACCUGCGUUGUAUUAGCUAGUAGGUGAGGUAACGGCUCACCUAGGCGACGAUACAUAGCCGACCUGAGAGGGUGAUCGGCCACACUGGGACUGAGACACGGCCCAGACUCCUACGGGAGGCAGCAGUAGGGAAUCUUCGGCAAUAGACGAAAGUCUGACCGAGCAACGCCGCGUGAGUGAAGAAGGUUUUCGGAUCGUAAAGCUCUGUUGUAAGAGAAGAACGGGUGUGAGAGUGGAAAGUUCACACUGUGACGGUAUCUUACCAGAAAGGGACGGCUAACUACGUG